rnacentral:pre_miRNA from 1 species
CUUGUACUCCCUCCGUCCGAAAAUACUUGUCCUUGAAAUGGAUGUAUCUAGAUGUAUUCUAGUUCUAGACACAUCCAUUUUGAUGACAAGUAAUUCUGGACGGAGGGAGUACUUG